rnacentral:rRNA from 1 species
CCCAAGAGAUCGGGAUAACACCUGGAAACAGAUGCUAAUACCGGAUAACAACAGAUGAUGCCUAUCAACUGUUUAAAAGAUGGUUCUGCUAUCACUCNUUGGAUGGACCUGCGGUGCAUUAGCUAGUUGGUAGGGUAACGGCCUACCAAGGCGAUGAUGCAUAGCCGAGUUGAGAGACUGAUCGGCCACAUUGGGACUGAGACACGGCCCAAACUCCUACGGGAGGCAGCAGCU